rnacentral:rRNA from 1 species
AGACGCUCGUAGUCGGAUUUCGGGGCGGGCCGACCGGUCUGCCGAUGGGUACGCACUGGUCGGCGCGUCCUUCCUUCCGGAGACCGUGCCUACUCUUAACUGAGCGGGGGCGGGAGACGGAUCGUUUACUUUGAAAAAAUCAGAGUGUUUCAAGCAGGCAGCUCGCUCUUGCAUGGAUUAGCAUGGGAUAAUGAAAUAGGACUUUGGUGCUAUUUUGUUGGUUUCGAACACCGAAGUAAUGAUUAAAAGGGACAGUCAGGGGCACUCGUAUUCCGCCGAGAGAGGUGAAAUUCUCAGACCAGCGGAAGACGAACCACUGCGAAAGCAUUUGCCAGGGAUGUUUUCACUGAUCAAGAACGAAAGUUAGGGGAUCGAAGAGGAUCAGAUACCCUCGUAGUCUUAACCAUAAACCAUGCCGACUAGGGAUUGGAGGAUGUUCACUGAUUGACUCCUUCAGCACCUUACGGGAAACUAAAGUCUUUGGGUUCCGGGGGGAGUAUGGUCGCAAGGCUGAAACUUAAAGGAAUUGACGGAAGGGCACCACCAGGUGUGGAGCCUGCGGCUUAAUUUGACUCAACACGGGGAAACUUACCAGGUCCAGACAUUGUGAGGAUUGACAGAUUGAGAGCUCUUUCUUGAUUCGAUGGGUGGUGGUGCAUGGCCGUUCUUAGUUGGUGGAGUGAUUUGUCUGGUUAAUUCCGUUAACGAACGAGACCUUAGCCUGCU